CCAGGACCUAAAUAAAAGUUACUGAAUGUGUGAAUGAAACAUCUUUUUGAAAACAUGUGAUUUGUGAGUAAAACCAGAAGUACCGUGAUGGAGGGCUGACAAAUACUUACUCAAUUCUGAUAAGAACACAUUAAGUGCCAAACUUGGAUCUGCUGCCAAGCACCCAAUGUACCUCAUAUGUUUCAUACUGCUAUGGAAAGCAAGUGGAUUUACACUGGAUUAUGGGAGCAUUUAUCUAUGUCAGAGUUCAAAGAUCAUCAGGAAAAGUGGUAUACUGGGAGCUGCUGACUCCAGAGCACUGAAAUGGCAGCUUGUAAACAACCUUUCAGGGAUAGGGGAAGAUUUUGGAAGCAUCAGCUCAAACAGGUUCGGAGUGUGCCCCUGCUAAGAACAUGGUGGGGAUGCCUGACUGUUUGCAGGGGAGAUAACUAUAUGAUUGAUUGAUCUGCAGUGGUUUUCACAUUACUUAAAUCUGUUCUUCUGGGCACUCUGCAGUAAUAAAAAGAGGUGCCUGACAAAACAUCUCAUGAUAUUUUGUAAAGCAUAAGAGUAACAAGAAGGUGGUUCCCCAAGCAUGGCACUAGAUAUCAAACACCUGUUUAAAAAGAAAGGUUUUUAACAUCUUUGCAUAUGCUAUCAGUGAUCAUUAUUAUUCCAUUCUUCAUUACUCAGCAGUUGUAACAGCUUGUCAGAGAAAGAAAAAGAGAAGUUUUCCAUCCAUGGUUUGGUCAUCAACAACUGUAAGGUCAGCCUUCCAACAUUCUCCAUGCCACGUAGGAAAUCUAGCACAACUGACAGACACCAAAAUAACAAA